CCUACGGGUGGCAGCAGUGGGGAAUAUUGGACAAUGGGGGCAACCCUGAUCCAGCCAUGCCGCGUGUGUGAAGAAGGCCCUCGGGUUGUAAAGCACUUUCAGUGAGGAAGAACGCCUGGUGGUUAAUACCCAUCAGGAAAGACAUCACUCACAGAAGAAGCACCGGCUAACUCCGUGCCAGCAGCCGCGGUAAUACGGAGGGUGCGAGCGUUAAUCGGAAUUACUGGGCGUAAAGCGCGCGUAGGUGGCUUGAUAAGCCGGUUGUGAAAGCCCCGGGCUCAACCUGGGAACGGCAUCCGGAACUGUCAAGCUAGAGUGCAGGAGAGGAAGGUAGAAUUCCCGGUGUAGCGGUGAAAUGCGUAGAGAUCGGGAGGAAUACCAGUGGUGAAGGCGGCCUUCUGGACUGACACUGACACUGAGGUGCGAAAGCGUGGGUAGCAAACAGGAUUAGAUACCCUAGUAGUC
rnacentral:rRNA from 1 species